CUGGUUGAUCCUGCCAGUAGUCAUAUGCUUGUCUCAAAGAUUAAGCCAUGCAUGUCCAAGUAUAAACCUUUUUAUACGGUGAAACUGCGAAUGGCUCAUUAAAUCAGUAAUAGUUUAUUUGAUUGUGCACAUACUACAUGGAUAACUGUAGUAAUUCUAGAGCUAAUACAUGCAAAAGGAACCGAUUGUGAGGAGUCCAGAUCUGCUCUUUCUUCUUCGGGGGGAAGAGGGGUUUGGGAACCACUUUUCACGAGAGGUUUGCAUUUAUUUGGUUCCAAAAAACCAAUUGCAAGUCUUUCUCUCCUUUCUUCGGGGAGGUUUGUGAAAGGCUUGUAAAACGAUUUUUGGUGAUUCAGAAUAACUGUGCAGAUCGUAUGGCCUUUGAGCCGACGACGAAUCAUUCAAAUUUCUGCCCUAUCAACUUUCGAUGGUAGGAUAGUGGCCUACCAUAGUGAUAACGGGUAACGGAGAAUUAGGGUUUGAUUCCGGAGAGGGGGCCUGAGAGAUGGCCACUACUUCUAAGGAAGGCAGCAGGCGCGCAAAUUGUUCAAUCCUGACACAGGGAGACAGUGACAAGAAAUAACAAUGCAGGUCCUCCAAAAGGUCUUGCAAUUGGAAUGAGUACAAUUUAAACCCUUUAAUGAGGAACAAUUAGCGCCAAGUCUGGU
rnacentral:rRNA from 1 species